rnacentral:rRNA from 1 species
GGCUCAGGAUGAACGCUAGCGGCAGGCCUAAUACAUGCAAGUCGAACGGUGUCUUCGGACAUAGUGGCGCACGGGUGCGUAACACGUAUGCAACCUACCUUACAUUGGGGGGAUAGCCUUUCGAAAGGGAGAUUAAUACCGCAUAAGACAGUAGCUGGGCAUCCAGCAGCUGUUAAAGAUUUAUCGAUGUAAGCUGGGCAUGCGUCCAAUUAGCUAGUUGGUGAGGUAACGGCUCACCAAGGCAAUGAUUGGUAGGGGAACUGAGAGGUCAAUCCCCCACACUGGCACUGAGAUACGGGCCAGACUCCUACGGGAGGCAGCAGUAGGGAAUAUUGGGCAAUGGACGCAAGUCUGACCCAGCCAUGCCGCGUGCAGGAUGAAGGCGUUAUGCGUUGUAAACUGCUUUUAUACAGGAAGAAACGACUCUUGCGAGAGGCAUUGACGGUACUGUAUGAAUAAGUACCGGCUAACUCCGUG